rnacentral:rRNA from 1 species
GAGUUUGAUCAUGGCUCAGAUUGAACGCUGGCGGCAUGCCUUACACAUGCAAGUCGAACGGCAGCAUGAUCUAGCUUGCUAGAUUGAUGGCGAGUGGCGAACGGGUGAGUAAUACAUCGGAACGUGCCCUGUAGUGGGGAUAACUAGUCGAAAGAUUAGCUAAUACCGCAUACGACCUGAGGGUGAAAGUGGGGGACCGCAAGGCCUCAUGCUAUAGGAGCGGCCGAUGUCUGAUUAGCUAGUUGGUGGGGUAAGGCCCACCAAGGCGACGAUCAGUAGCUGGUCUGAGAGGACCGAUCAGCCACACUGGGACUGAGACACGGGCCCAGGACUCCUACGGGAGGCAGCAGUGGGGAACUUUGGACAAUGGGCGAAAGCCUGA